CUUUCACAUCCUCAUAUGUUUAAUGGCUAUUGAAAUGUAAUGAAAUACAAAACACUUUUAAAAAGUGAAUUUCAUUACAUUGGUUUAAGGAGAAGUCAUUUUUGUCAUGUCUCAUUAUGCUCUAAAAAAUCUUGGGUUAUUUUUUCUAUCCAAGUCCUGGGUUGAGCCUUUUGUGUCAAUUUUUUUCCAGCGUUUGGGUAGUUUUUGUGUUACACAGAUCCUGGGUCAGACGUAACAACCCAGCGUUUGGGUAGUUUUUGUGUUACUCAGAUCCUGGGUCAGACGUAACAACCCAGCGUUUGGGUAGUUUUUGUGUUACUCAGAUCCUGGGUCAGGCGUAACAACCCAGCGUUUGGGUAGUUUUUGUGUUACUCAGAUCCUGGGUCAGACGUAACAACCCAGCGUUUGGGUAGUUUUUGUGUUACUCAGAUCCUGGGUCAGACGUAACAACCCAGCGUUUGGGUAGUUUUUGUGUUACCCAGAUCCUGGGUCAGACGUAACAACCCAGCGUUUGGGUAGUUUUUGUGUUACCCAGAUCCUGGGUCAGACGUAACAACCCAGCGUUUGGGUAGUUUUUGUGUUACCCUGAUCCUGGGUCAGACGUAACAACCCAGCGUUUGGGUAGUUUUUGUGUUACCCUGAUCCUGUGUCAGACGUAACAACCCAGCGUUUGGGUAGUUUUUGUGUUACACAGAUCCUGGGUCAGACGUAACAACCCAGUGUUUGGGUAGUUUUUGUGUUACCCUGAUCCUGGGUCAGGCGUAACAACCCAGUGUUUGGGUAGUUUUUGUGUUACCCAGAUCCUGGGUCAGACGUAACAACCCAGCGUUUGGGUAGUUUUUGUGUUACCCUGAUCCUGGGUCAGACGUAACAACCCAGUGUUUGGGUAGUUUUUGUGUUACCCAGAUCCUGGGUCAGGCGUAACAACCCAGUGUUUGGGUAGUUUUUGUGUUACACAGAUCCUGGGUCAGACGUAACAACCCAGCGUUUGGGUAGUUUUUGUGUUACCCUGAUCCUGGGUCAGACGUAACAACCCAGUGUUUGGGUAGUUUUUGUGUUACCCAGAUCCUGGGUCAGACGUAACAACCCAGCGUUUGAGUAGUUUUUGUGUUACCCUGAUCCUGGGUCAGGCGUAACAACCCAGUGUUUGGGUAGUUUUUGUGUUACACAGAUCCUGGAUCAGACGUAACAACCCAGCGUUUGGGUAGUUUUUGUGUUACCCUGAUCCUGGGUCAGUCGUAACAACCCAGCGUUUGGGUAGUUUUUGUGUUACCCUGAUCCUGGGUCAGGCGUAACAACCCAGUGUUUGGGUAGUUUUUGUGUUACACAGAUCCUGGGUCAGACGUAACAACCCAGUGUUUGGGUAGUUUUUGUGUUACACAGAUCCUGGGUCAGACGUAACAACCCAGCGUUUGGGUAGUUUUUGUGUUACCCAGAUCCUGGGUCAGACGUAAAUGUAGGCAAUAUGUAUUAAAAAUGAUAUAAAAUAUGCCAUACCAUAAAAUAUAAUCGAAAAUAAAGGAAUUAUCAUGUAAACCGGUGGUUUAGAGGAUUUAAGUUAAUCCGUAAACAUUAAUUCGUGUAUAAUGUAAAAAAAUUGUUUUAUCUUUAUUUACAUCCUUUCAGUCUUUUGUGAAAUCCCUACAACUAAAAAGGCAGUUCUGUGAUGACAUCAUUGCACAGGAAGUGACAUCAUUUUGGAGGGAAAACGUCAGCGCCGACAUCAGAGCUUGAAAACUCGGCUUUAUGGGAAAGAGCAACCAGUACAAUUAUUAAAAUCCAAAAGAAAAUACGGAAGAUAGAAAGUCAUCCAGGUUUUGAAUGGCAUGAUGCGUCUGUAUCAGAUGUGCAGGAAUCUGACGCAGUGGAUCUUCUCUGCCGUUAUCAGAGGUGUGAGUCACGUCACGACACCACACAAACCUCAAGACCCAGAGGUCAAAGUGUAAAUGACAGACGUGGAUAAGAGAUUGUGCCCAUCCUCCUUAAGAUGAAAGAUCAGGGUCAUCAUUCCCAGACCUGCAGGAGCCUCCAAACCUGAGGAGAAAUCCUGAGGAGAAGUCCUGCUCUUCAGUGUAAGUCUGUGGGUCUUUUUACACACUCUCUUAACCACUAACCCUAAAUAUGAGUCAUUAGGGUUGCCAUGUCUACAUAACAAAACUAGCCAAUCAAAAGUAGCGCGAUGACCAUCCCAAAGAUCAAAACUCAAAAGUUUAACUCGCGAACUCGCGGCAACAAAGUGACCCUGAUCCCGCGGGAAGAUUUGGCAACCCUGGAAGUGAUUGUGAUACUUGUCUUAGAUUGUAAAGCUGAAGUAUUCAAAGUUUAGACGUUGUUUCACUGCCCAGGACCAAACCAUCCGCCAGCCAACAGGAAAUCCUCUCCUGACAGGAAGUGACACGGCACAUACGUGCCUAUGAAACAGGAAAUGCACCCUGUGUAAGUUCAUUCAUAACAGUCAAGAACAGACGACAUACAAAACUAGGGCGGGGCAAUAGCUGAAAGCAAUUUAUAUUUAAUAUAUAAUAUUAUAAGGCUUUUAAUGGUGUUCAUUGAAUAUCCUGAUAUUUAUAGUUAUUUCCUCAGAAUUAGAUUUAAACUGUGAUUUCUCUUUUUUUAAUCAAAAGAACUCUCAUUUCAACCUUUUUACCAAGUAGAUUAAAAAAAUAAAAUUAAAUUAAAACACAGCAGUGAAAGUCUAGUUUAUGCCAAACCUUUCAGUAUAUAUAUAUAUAUAUAUAUAUAUAUAUUAUAUAUAUAUAUAAAAACACAGAGAC